CACGGGGGGAGCAAGCGUUGUUCGGAAUUACUGGGCGUAAGGGGCGUGUAGGCGGUCAAGUAAGUGGAAUGUGAAACGCCUCGGCUUACCCGAGGACCUGCAUCCCAAACUGCUUGGCUUGAGUAUGGGAGAGGAUGAGGGAAUUUCUGGUGUAGCGGUGAAAUGCGUAGAUAUCAGGAGGAACACCGGUGGCGAAAGCGCUCAUCUGGCCCAAUACUGACGCUGAGGCGCGAAAGCUAGGGGAGCAAACGGG
rnacentral:rRNA from 1 species